rnacentral:lncRNA from 1 species
CUACAACAUUCACCAUAAGCGAACUUUCGUUGACAUACGUUGUUGUUGUGAUUAAUUGGCACCCUCCAUGGUGCGGUGUGGUUACAUGUAUCCUGAUUCAAGAAAUGAAAUGAAUGACACUAACUCACAGCCAAUAUUUGCCCUGCCGUUUCCUACCUGCGUAGCCUGGGGCCUGAGCCCCUCUCACCCAUUACUUUUGUGCUCUCUGGGUCUUUGAUGGAUUUGUUCUUAGAACAUUUAUUCCUCUAGGGGGCAAACUUUGGUCUUCCCUAGAAAUGCGCUGGGGACCAUGUUUCUCAAACAGCAGCUUUUAGCUUCUGUUUUGUGGCCUGUUUCCUUUACAGUUGGUGCUCCUAAAUCUUGUUGCUGCGUUGAUGAUCGCCUUUGAAGAAGAUGAAGUCCACCAGCAGAUGGGAGAAAGCAACACACAGGACGAAGAGACAGACUUCAUAGAGUCAGUUUCAAAUUUCAGAUACAGAGGCGAGUCCUGCAGAGUUUUGAGCCCAUCAAAUCAUGUUAACCUCAGUGGGAAGCCAAGAAUCCUCAAAAGCAGUGGUCAGAGGAACGCUGGACAAGAAGGAACCAUAUCCUUGUGUAACUCCUUUCUGCUUCAGGUGGCAUCCGACAUUUGCCUACACCUACAAGUACCUUUGUCAGCUUGAGCUUGAUGAAAAAGUCUUCUAAAAAAUCCUUUUCAGAUAUUUUGGAGAAACAGGAGAGGGAAAAUGCAGAGAAUCAUUUUCUGUGCCCUUUCGCAUAGCUGGUCAUAGCAUCUGUUUGAGGACCUGGUCAGCUGGCCUGUUCUCCCCUGGCAGAGCAAAAUUACUCUCUACACUGUAGUUCUUGGUCAUGGACAGUUACUUCCACUAUCCAUGGGUUUUUCUUUAAAUCCUUAGUAGGAGGAGUUUCUUGCCCAUGAUAAGGGUUUGUAGAUGCUAUAAGACAAAUGAAAAGUAGUAGAAAAAUUCCGUAGGGACACUGAUAAUUCAGCAAAUUCCACACUCGGAAAUGGAGAGGUUAAUUCUUUUUUCUCAGUUUCAUACUAUCAGUCAUUGUUCAUUCAUAUGCUUUUAAAUAUGGUGCUAACAUAAGAUGAUGGCUAAGUUUUCAAGGGUGAUGUUUACAGUAGGCAUUUUACCCGUGAAUAUUAAUAAAGUGAGAAGAAUAAUUUUCA